ACAGUAAUCUCCAGCUUUCAUUCUGAAAACAGCCAGAUGGGAAAGUUGGAACUGUUAAUAAUAGAAAACGUUGCCAUCCGCAGUUCCUGGAGUCAUAACUCUUUAAAGGCUGUUUGGAUUCCAGAUCUCUACAGACCAGCCCAAGCCAGAUGCUCCUCAGACUCUGCACUGCCAUGGGCCAUGAUCUGGCUGGUCUGGCUGACAGAAGGGAGCAAGCCCACCACCCUGAGGCAGGAGGGCAGGGCCCGUGGUACAAAUGUGCUGAGCAAGUUGUGAUGAGAAAUGAACACAAGUGUAACAAACAGGAAGGAUUUUAAAGAUUUCUCUACCAUGCAGACUCUGUUAACCGUUGCCAUCAAUCAACCCAGAGAGCAGAGAUACACGGCCUUUUGUCCACAGCUGCAAUUCCCAGAAUGUGUUCCUCAGAAUCCUGAUCAUGUGUGAUGGCCCUUGAAAACUGUUCCACACUGAAAUAAAUUUUAGAAAUGCU